GAGGGUGUAGCACAGUGGUAGAGCACUUGCUUAGCAUGCAUAGCGUCCUAGGUUUGAUUCCCAGCAUCCAUU
rnacentral:tRNA from 1 species